UAAAUACAGAUACAUACAUGAACAUAUGCACGUAUAGCGCCCAAAUGUCGGUAAUGGGAUCGGCUUACUAAUUAUAAAAUGCAUCAUAGAAAUCGUUGAAGUUUGCCGUAGUAAUACCCAGAUUAUCAGAUUCCAAAUCCUUGUCAAUAAUUAUACUCCUUUGGACAACUUCUCUUUCCAUUAAAAAAUCUGAAAUCUCCUUAAAUUUUAAAUAGAUUCUGUUCAGUUCACUAACGGGGAAUUUCAAGAGAACAUUUUUGUUCUUCGCCGACUGACUAUAAUCUGUAACAUUAUUGUUAUCAGAGUUUCUCGCAAAAUUUUGUUUUUUCUUGCUAAAUCUCAGCAUAUAUUUAAUCAGAUUCAAAACCUUGUUGAAACCUUUAAUAGAUUUGAAAUUUCCGUUGCUAUUCAUUUCAUCUCGUAAAAAGGAUACGAUAAUUUCUAUUUUUUUUUAAAAUUUCCAAAAUCUUGUCAUGAAUCAAUAGCAAUUGAACAUUAAUCUCCUCAUUUGAAAGAUUUUUGUAAAAUUCGUCAUAUAAUAUUACUUCACAACGUUGGAAAAUAGCAAAUGUGAUUGCUAUAAAAUUCUGUAAGAUUUCAAUAAAAUGAUUUGCGAAUAAAAAUUCUUUACCAUUAGAAUGAAAGCGAUUAUUGCCGCUUGAAAAUGACUUUAUCGACUUUAUGGGGAAGAUAAAAUUAAAUGUUAUUGAGUAAAAAAUGUGCAUAUUAGAAAUAAUUUUCAUCAGAUCCUUUGCACAUCUUUCAGAGUUCGAGGUCUUAUUGUUGUUAGAAGAAUGUUGAACUGCCAUGGACAAAGAGGAUUCGUUUUGAACAAAAAGGAAAAAAUUUGUAUAAACAAUGGUAUUGAUAAAAUUUAAAGUGUCUUUCCAUUCUUUUCUGACUUCGUUGUCAUGAAAAUAUAAGUCUACUGUAUUACUCACGCCCAUAGUCAAGGUUUCUAACAGACUUUCAAUUUUGGUUAAAUUUACUGGCAAGUAGAAAGGAACACCUUGCAGAAUAUUUAUCAAUUUUGCUUGCGUUUCCAGUAAUUUUAAAUCGUUAGCAAUUAAAGGAAUGUCGUUCGUAUCAAUAGAGGCAGGUAUCGGAGAUAGGUUUUCAGCAGCGGGUACCAUGAAUGAAGACUGACCUAGAAGCGAAUGUCUUGAGUAAUACAUUUUUUUCAAAAAAUGGAAUAACUUGAAAUCUUUUAUCUGGAAGCUUAACAGACAGCUCAAAUCUUCGUCUAAACUUGAUUUAUGAUCAUCAUGCAUGUACAGAGAUUCAUAAAAUU
rnacentral:snoRNA from 1 species